rnacentral:tRNA from 2 species
AAGGGUGUUUGUGUUUGUUUGGUGCAAUAUACGCUAGACUUAGGAUCUAGUGCCGCGAGGUGUGGGAGUUCGAGUCUCCCCGCCC